GGGGGGAGGUCAGAUCCUGGACUGUGUCCCGGGCACCCUGUGCUCCCGGGCCUGUGCCAUUGGAUUCGCGCUCCUGGCUGGGCAACCCCCU
rnacentral:pre_miRNA from 1 species